rnacentral:rRNA from 1 species
CCUACGGGUGGCAGCAGUAGGGAAUCUUCCACAAUGGGCGAAAGCCUGAUGGAGCAACGCCGCGUGGAUGAAGAAGGUCUUCGGAUCGUAAAACCCUGUUGUUAGAGAAGAAAGUGCGUGAGAGUAACUCUUCACGUUUCGACGGUAUCUAACCAGAAAGCCACGACUAACUACGUGCCAGCAGCCGCGGUAAGACGUCGGUGGAAAGCGUUAUCCGGUUUUAUUGGGUGUAAAGGGAACGCAGGCGGUCGUUUAAGUCUGAUGUGAAAGCCUUCGGUUUAACCGGAGUAGUGCAUUCGAAACUGGGAGACUUGAGUGCAGAAGCGGAGAGUGGAA